UACGUAGGGGGCAAGCGUUGUCCGGAAUCAUUGGGCGUAAAGCGCGUGUAGGCGGCUCAGUAAGUCUGUUCUGAAAGUCCAAGGCUCAACCUUGGGAUGCGGAUGGAUACUGCUGGGCUCGAGUCCGGAAGAGGCGAGUGGAAUUCCUGGUGUAGCGGUGAAAUGCGCAGAUAUCAGGAGGAACACCAAUGGCGAAGGCAGCUCGCUGGGACGUGACUGACGCUGAGACGCGAAAGCGUGGGGAGCAAACAGG
rnacentral:rRNA from 1 species